UAGAGAAUCUUCCACAAUGGGCGAAAGCCUGAUGGAGCAACGCCGCGUGUGUGAUGAAGGGUUUCGGCUCGUAAAACACUGUUGUAAGAGAAGAAUGACAUUGAGAGUAACUGUUCAAUGUGUGACGGUAUCUUACCAGAAAGGAACGGCUAAAUACGUGCCUG
rnacentral:rRNA from 1 species